AGCUGGGCUAGCAUGCAGUAGUGUAGUGGUUAAGGAGCUGGGCUAGCAUGCAGUAGGUGGUGGUAGUGUAGAGGUUAAGGAGCUGGGCUAGCAUGCAGUAGUGUAGUGGCUA